UUUGAGGUCUAUCCCGAUGGGGCUUCCCCAGUAGCCACACAUUGUUGGAAACGCCUCAUAUAGUAACUUGUGGUUGCUUGACUCACAAGGCUGCUAAAAAGAAAAAAAGAAAAAGAAAAAAAAU